rnacentral:tRNA from 2 species
GAGGCCGUAGCGCAGAGGUCGACGCGCCUUGACAGCAAGCUGGAGGACGCCGGUUCGAAUCCGGCCGGUCUCGCCA